rnacentral:tRNA from 1 species
GGGGUUAUGGUCUAACCUGGCUACGAUUGGCGCUUAGGGAGCGUCAGAUCCGGGUUCAAAUCCCGGUAACCCCA